AGUGAACGCUGGCGGUAGGCCUAACACAUGCAAGUCGAACGGCAGCACAGUAAGAGCUUGCUCUUACGGGUGGCGAGUGGCGGACGGGUGAGGAAUACAUCGGAAUCUACUUUUUCGUGGGGGAUAACGUAGGGAAACUUACGCUAAUACCGCAUACGACCUACGGGUGAAAGCAGGGGAUCUUCGGACCUUGCGCGAUUGAAUGAGCCGAUGUCGGAUUAGCUAGUUGGCGGGGUAAAGGCCCACCAAGGCGACGAUCCGUAGCUGGUCUGAGAGGAUGAUCAGCCACACUGGAACUGAGACACGGUCCAGACUCCUACGGGAGGCAGCAGUGGGAAAUACUGGACAAUGGGCGCAAGCCUGAUCCAGCCAUACCGCGUGGGUGAAGAAGGCCUUCGGGUUGUAAAGCCCUUUUGUUGGGAAAGAAAAGCAGCAGGUUAAUACCCCGCUGUUCUGACGGUACCCAAAGAAUAAGCACCGGCUAACUUCGUG
rnacentral:rRNA from 1 species